CCUACGGGGGGCAGCAGUGAGGAAUAUUGGUCAAUGGGCGUAAGCCUGAACCAGCCAAGUCGCGUGAGGGAUGAAGGUUCUCUGGAUCGUAAACCUCUUUUAUAAGGGAAUAAAGUGCGGGACGUGUCCCGUUUUGUAUGUACCUUAUGAAUAAGGAUCGGCUAACUCCGUGCCAGCAGCCGCGGUAAUACGGAGGGUCCGAGCGUUAUCCGGAUUUAUUGGGUUUAAAGGGUGCGUAGGCGGCCUUUUAAGUCAGCGGUGAAAGUCUGUGGCUCAACCAUAGAAUUGCCGUUGAAACUGGGAGGCUUGAGUAUAUUUGAGGCAGGCGGAAGGCGUGGUGUAGCGGUGAAAUGCUUAGAUAUCACGCAGAACCCCGAUUGCGAAGGCAGCUUGCCAAGCCAUGACUGACGCUGAUGCACGAAAGCGUGGGGAUCAAACAGGAUUAGAUACCCGGGUAGUC
rnacentral:rRNA from 1 species